UUGACGAGUUGAAGCACAAAAAUCUAAACUAUGUUUUGUGUUAUUGUGAGGUGCAGCUUUAAGUUGUGUAACAGAAGUGUGUGUGUCCGACUGAACAGCAGGUGAAAUGUUGCCACGGCAACAGCAACAACAAACACUGUGGAUGAAACCUGGCAACAAGGACCGAACACACAGCAGGCAGAGGGAUUCCUAAUGCUUUGGCAUCAGGUGGCUGUCCAGUCAGGAUAGCUGGGGAUCACCUACUCUGUGCUUUAAAUGCAGCUGAUCUUUAUGAUGUGGAGAGAGGCCCAUCAUUGACCAGACAGUCCUCAUUCGGCAGAGAUCCUUUUGCAUCUGAGGAAGAGAGAGAUCAUGCACAGGGACGUUUCUCAGAAGCUUUUGGAGAUCUCUCAGCAUUGUUUGACCACACAGUCAACAAUAAUCCUGGGCCAUUAGAGGAUGCUCUGCAGCAUCUUAUCCGUGUUUCAACAUAAACGGAGAUGGAGGGCCCUACUCUCUCCCUUUGCUGCCGCAGCCUGAUAGGUUGUCAGAACUGUAUUGCAGUCCUCCUAGAAAGGGGUGAUGGUUGCCCAAAGUGCAGGUCCCCUCUCAGCCAAGGCCAGACCGUCGCUGUGGCUGGCCUGUCAGAGGCCUUGGCCGUUGUGCGUGGCCUCGGCCACUAAGUGUCCGAGUGAUGAAGUCAAGUGUUGUUUCCCGUUUGUUCCUGUCACAUAUUUUGUUUGGGUUUCUUAUGUGCAGGAAGAAGAAUUUCUAAAACAAUAAACAAUAA